UACCGCCAGGCUCCUGACCCCAGCUUGGACAGCAGGCCGCCGAGCGCCCCUGACGCCCGUUACCGAGAUGGCUGCGCAGAAGGAGUGGCUGUGGGGCUGUGAUCUCUCCUAGAACCUCAGAGGCAUGAAGCUAGAAUAUCUUCCCCUUCAAGGAGAAUAAGCCAAGAACACAAGAAGAUCAGAGGCUGUAAGGAGCUGCUAUAAGGCCUUCUCCCAGUCACUUCCCUCUCUCUCCUGAGAGGCUGUCUUGAAUGAAUUUCUCAUCACUUACCAGAUUCUGAUGAGGGUAUAUGAGACAAGGACCUGGGGAGUUGGCCUCUUUGGUUCAUUCUUUGUACUGUUUAUCUAUGGUUGUUGCGGCCUUUGUUGAUGACAUUCAGCAUUGACUUCUUGGGUAAGGUAUUCAGUAGUUAAGAUUCAAUGACUCCAGUGAAAGGUAUGUUUCCAUCGUGAUGUUCUUCUUCUGGACAAUAAGUGAAAAGAGCAUGUGAGUACCUCUCUCACUCCCAGCAAAUAAUUGUUGUGUCACCUCCACAUGUUUCUUCACGAUUCGAGGCUUUGAUUUCCCCUGCAAGACAAAAUGCAAUGAAGUGAUACAGAAAAAAAGAAAUUCUAUGCUGUCAUCACACUAGACCAUGAUGUUGAUUUAUGGAUGGUCUGCUUUCUUAUAUGCACUUAAUAUUUUUGUACAAGCAAACCUGAAAAGUGUCAAAAUCCCCUUUAACAGAUUAACAGGCUGAGAUGGGUUAAAGUGAGCAAGCCGGGAAGUGGUGGAGCUGGGAUCCACACCCUGGUCUGUCUGAGUCCAGAUGUAAUCAUCUUGCAUUCACUAUGGCAUGUUUCCCUUAUGUUAAGGGUUGCUGACAUAGACAGUGCAUGUCAUUCCUUUUGGUAUGGUCUUCCUCCUUUCUAGCUUUUUUCUGCCUGGAAGAUCCAGGCACCCAAGAGAAUGGAGCUUCCAUGUAAAUUUGCAGAAUCCCUAGGAUGAAAGCGGAGAGGAUCUACCCUGAAACCAACAAGUCUAGGAUGCACAUCUCUGCCUUUUUUUCAGAAUUAGGAAGGGGCAGGCAGAUGGGCAAUUGACAGGAAUAGUAGAAGCAUCCUCGGGGAAGUUGGCUACUUUACUUAGUGAGAAAGCAAUGGAAAGUGACAUUUGUAACUGAGUUUUAAGUGAAGUACAGUCCUAAGAGAGGAGCUCUGAAAAACAGCUGUUACCUGAGAUUGGGAAUGUUAAAGACCUUCUCAGAGCCUGACUGUACUCACAGCUGGACCUAGCUAUCAGAAGAGGGACUGCAACAUACCUGAGAAACUUUCAGAAUACUUAACGGAAGCAGAGUCAGGGGAAGUGAUUUUGAUAGUAGUCCAUGAGAAAAAAAUACGGUGUUUUAAAAUGCAAAUGAACUAAAAUUUAAAUCCUGCUCUCUCAGUAGCUAUGCAGCCUUAGGCGAGUUAAUAUCUUUGACCUUAGUAUUUCUCAGGUGUAAAGAGGGAUAAUUACCUACUCAGAACUUCACCUCUCCCAAGAAAGCUUUCCUGACCAUGUGCUGGCCCUUCCUUUACAUUGGGAUUAAAGUACCCCCCCCCGUUUUUCCAGGCUUUCUUGACUUUAAUUCUGUCAUAGCUCUAAUUAAGAACCUCUGUAAUGAUCUGUCUGCAAGCUUGUGAGAAAUUUGAGGACUGGGAACCAGCCUGAAACAUGUCUGUUCCCCUCUGAGUCAACACAGUGCCUGGGAUCUGGUGUCCAGUAGGGAUUUAAAGCAUAUUGAUUGAAUGAGAAAUGAUGACAGGAUCUACAUGGAUCACAAAGGAUAGUUGUUAUUUUACCUGUUAACUAUUUAAUAGCGAAAUUAAAUGAAAUAUGAAUUAACCUAGGACCAGGGAAGGUGGGGUAAGUUGUGUCUUUCACAUCAACCUUCAUAUGUUCCCCAAUUUUUUCUUCCUUCAUGUACCUAGGACACUCUUGUUCAAACACAAAGGUGGUUUUAUUUUGGGUCUAUACUAGCUAGUUCCCUAGAAAGGUCUUAAAUACAAAAUGAAUGGAAUACAAAAUAACCUCCCUCAUUGUUUUUUUUCCCGGACAAAUGACAGGAUGCAUACAGAACUGCUACUUUUGUGAUGUUGCAAGUAAUGGUAUAGAUGUGCACAAAUCAUGGAUGUGGUCCCAGUGAUCCAUGGAAAUGUGAAGUCCAGAAGCUCCUCGUCUUAGAGGUUGUUCUCCUGCUCCUUUGGUCAAGUGCUGGAAAAUUCAACACUAAUUUCUGCAGAGGUAGAGGAAUGGAGUUUGUUUCAAGUCCUUGUGAAGGGAUAGAAUGAUUGGUACUUACAGCUG
rnacentral:lncRNA from 1 species